AAUGAACGUUGGCGGCGUGGAUUAGGCAUGCAAGUCGUGCGAGAAUCUCCUUCGGGAGAGGACAGCGGCGAAAGGGAGAGUAACGCGUGGUUACAUGCCCUCAGGACCGGGAUAGUAGCGGGAAACUGCUAGUAAUACCGGAUAAUAUCUUUGGAUCAAAGGUGUGAUUCCGCCUGAGGAUUGGACCGCGUUCUAUUAGCUUGUUGGCGGGGUAAUGGCCCACCAAGGCUGCGAUGGAUACCGGGUGUGAGAGCAUGGCCCGGCUCACUGGGACUGAGACACUGCCCAGACACCUACGGGUGGCAG
rnacentral:rRNA from 1 species